GAGCUCAAAUUUGAAAGCUGGUACCUUCGGUAUCCGCGUUGUAACCUCGAGACACGUUUUCCGUGCGGCGCUAUGGACAAGUUCCUUGGAACAGGACAUCGUAGAGGGUGAAAAUCCCGUACUUGCCAUGGAUGUACCGUGCUUUGCGAUACGUGCUCUAAGAGUCGAGUUGUUUGGGAUUGCAGCUCAAAAUGGGUGGUAGACUCCAUCUAAAGCUAAAUAUCGGGGAGAGACCGAUAGCGAACAAGUACCGUGAGGGAAAGAUGAAAAGCACUUUGGAAAGAGAGUUAAAAGUACGUGAAAUUGUCGAAAGGGAAGCGCUUGAAGUCAGCCAUGCCGCUCAGGACUCAGCCUGGCUUUUGCUUGGUGUAUUUCCUGGGUAGCAAGUCAGCAUUGGUUUGGAUCGUCGGAGAAGCAUAGUCGGAAUGUGGCGCCCUCGGGCGUGUUAUAGCCUUCUAUU
rnacentral:rRNA from 1 species